AGUGAUAUGCUUGUCUCAAGGGCUAAGCCAUGCAUGUCUAAGUAGAAGCCCGCCUCCGGCGGGCGAGACCGCGAAUGGCUCCGUACAACAGUCCCAGUUUACUGGAUGGUCGUGGCCUAGUCGGAUAACUGUGGUAAUUCUAGAGCUAAUACGUGCCCCCGGGCUCCGACUCCCUCUCUUCACGGAGGGUGGGGAAGGAGCGCUUUUAUUAGCUCAAAGCCGACCGGGCUUAGCCCGCGCUUCCGUUCGCGGUGCGCGGGCGGCCCGCCUCUCGGUGAAACGGACGAACUGGCCGAUCGCGCGGCGUCACCAUGCGCCCGCGACGCGUCCUUCAAGCGUCUGCCUCAUCAGCUUUCGACGGUAGGUUAGACGCCUACCAUGGCGGCAACGGGUAACGGGGAAUCGGGGUUCGGUUCCGGAGAGGGAGCCUGAGAAACGGCUACCACAUCCAAGGAAGGCAGCAGGCGCGCAAUUUACCCCCUCCCGGCACGGGGAGGUAGUGACGAGGCGUACCGCCGCGGGCCCCCGCGCGGGGCUGCGUGGGCGGAAUGAGCACAUUUUAAGUCCUUUAGCGAGGACCCAUUGGAGGGCAAGUCUGGUGCCAGCAGCCGCGGGAACUCCAGCUCCGAUAGCGUAUGUUAACGCUGCUGCGGUUAAAGAGCUCGUCGCCGGAUAUCGGCCUCGGAGGGGCGGUUCGCCGGAGGGCGACACUUCCCCGUUCCGGGCGCAGUGGCGCGGCCGCGUCGGGUGGGGUCCCGGGCCCCGGUGUCAUGCCUUCCCAAUCGGCUCCGUCUCCUGUCCGGUUUCCGUCCUCCGCGAAGUCGACCGGGGUGCGUUGGUCGCGGGUUGCGGGGUUGCUGGGCUCGCGUCGCGGCGGGGUCGCGGGAAGGUCCGGCUCACGCCGGGUCCUCCCCCUCCCUUCCCUUCGGGGGCUCUCUCCCCGCACGCCCCUUCCUCCAUCCCCGGCUCGUUACCGAGCGGGGGCGCCGGUCAGGUUGACGCGGGUCGGGGUCGGCCUCUGCCCGGGUGUCCCGCGGGCCCCUUCGAUUUCCGCGCGGCGCCGGCGCCGGUUUCCUUGAGAAAAUUGGAGUGCUCAGAGCAGGCUGCUCAGGCUCGCACAGGAGUGCAUGGAACUAACCCAACGGUCCCGACCCGUCUUUGCAGUCGGCUUCGGGGGUCGGGUCCAGGGUCGAUGGGGACGGCCGGGGGCAUUGGUACCGCGACGUUAGAGGUGAAAUUCAGGGAUCGUCGCGUGACCGACGACUGCGAAAGCAUUUGCCCAGAACGUUCCCGUCGGCCGAGAACGAAAGUCGGAGGCUCGAAGGCGAUCAGAUACCGCCCUAGUUCUAACCUUAAACGAUGCCGACCGGCGAUCCGCCGCAGGAGGCGCGCGUUGGCGCCUCGGCGGGCAGCCCGCCCGGGAAACCCGAGUGUUCGGGCUCCGGGGGGAGUAUGGUCGCAAGGCCGAAACUUAAAGGAAUUGACGGAAGGGCACCACCAGGAGUGGAGCCUGCGGCCUAAUUUGACUCAACACGGGGAACCUCACCAGGUCCGGACCCCGGCAAGAUUGACAGGUUCACACGACACAGCCCUUUCUCGAUCCGGUGGGGGGUGGUGCAUGGCCGUUCGUGGUUCGUGGAGCGAUCUGUCUGGUUCAUUCCGGUAACGGGCGAGGCCCCGGCCGGCUUACUGGAGCGGGGCUCCCCGACGGGCGCCCGACGGCUCCUCUUAGCGGGACGGGCGGCGGGAAGCCGCACGAAGUCGGGGCAAGAACAGGUCCGUGAUGCCCUUAGAAGUCCUGGGCCGCACGCGCGCUACACUGACGAAGGCAGCGCGCCCACUCUGCCCAGUCCGAGAGGACUCGGGAACCGCUCAACCUUCGUUCGUGCUGGGGACUGGGGACUGCAACUGUCCCCACGAACGAGGAAUUCCUCGUAGGCGCGAGUCAUCAGCUCGCGUCGAUUACGUCCCUGUCCUUUGUACACACCGCCCGUCGCUACAUCCGAUCGAGCGAUCGAGCGAGGUUUUCGGACCGGGCCCGGCGCGACCGUUUCCCAUGCGGCGCGUCGGUGUUCCCUAGGGAAGUUGCCCGAGCUGGAUGGCUCAUAGGAGGUAUAAGU
rnacentral:rRNA from 1 species